GCUUACGGCCAUACCACCCUGAACGCGCCCGAUCUCGUCUGAUCUCGGAAGCAAGCAGGGUCGGGCCUGGUCAGUACUUGGACGGGAGACCGCCUGGGAAUACCAGGUGCUGUAAGCU
rnacentral:rRNA from 1 species